GAGUUUGAUCAUGGCUCAGAGCGAACGCUGGCGGCAGGCCUAACACAGCAAGUCGAACGCCCCGCAAGGGGAGUGGCAGACGGGUGAGUAACGCGUGGGAACGUACCUUUCGGUUCGGAAUAACCCGGGGAAACUCGGGCUAAUACCGGAUACGUCCGCAAGGAGAAAGAUUUAUCGCCGAAAGAUCGGCCCGCGUCGGAUUAGCUAGUUGGUGAGGUAACGGCUCACCAAGGCAAUGAUCCGUAGCUGGUCUGAGAGGACGAUCAGCCACACUGGGACUGAGACACGGCCCAGACUCCUACGGGAGGCAGCAGUGGGGAAUAUUGGACAAUGGGCGCAAGCCUGAUCCAGCCAUGCCGCGUGAGUGAUGAAGGCCCUAGGGUUGUAAAGCUCUUUUACCAGGGAAGAUAAUGACGGUACCUGGAGAAUAAGCCCCGGCUAACUUCGUGCCAGCAGCCGCGGUAAUAC
rnacentral:rRNA from 1 species